rnacentral:rRNA from 1 species
CCUACGGGAGGCAGCAGUGGGGAAUAUUGCACAAUGGGGGAAACCCUGAUGCAGCGACGCCGCGUGAAGGAAGAAGUAUUUCGGUAUGUAAACUUCUAUCAGCAGGGAAGAAAAUGACGGUACCUGACUAAGAAGCCCCGGCUAACUACGUGCCAGCAGCCGCGGUACUACGUAGGGGGCAAGCGUUAUCCGGAUUUACUGGGGGUAAAGGGAGCGUAGGCGGCGAUGCAAGUCAGAAGGGAAAGCCCGGGGCUCAACUCCGGGACUGCUUUUGAAACUGUGUUGCUCGAUUGCAGGAGAGGUAAGUGGAAGUCCUAGUGUAGCGGUGAAAUGCGUAGAUAUUAGGAGGAACACCAGUGGCGAAGGCGGCUUACUGGACUGUAAAUGACGCUGAGGCUCGAAAGCGUGGGGAGCAAACAGGAUUAGAUACCCGAGUAGUC